GCUCUUCGGAGUGCUUGGGAGGCUCAAUGGAGGCGCAGCAGCAGCCAGCAAGUUCAACGAGCUCUGGCCUGUGACUCGCGCCCAGCCCCACGUGAGCCGCACACAGAAUGGUUCUCCAUGGUAUUGUGGUGAAACUUCAUUAUGUUAGAGGAGCCUCUAAGAUCAUCUGUUUUUGCAAAUAAGAAAAAUGCCUCAUCUAGUAGUGAGCAAAAAAUUGAUGAACUACAGGCAACCUUGUCAAUGACUCGGGCAAUAAGCCGAUGGAAGUUUCACUGGGAAACAGCAACCUUCACAGGAGUAACUGCCAGCUUAUUGCUGAUAAUAGAAACAUAUGGCAAUAAGCUGAACAGCAGUGGAAAGUACUGAAAUAAAUUCUAAAGACUACCUAGUGGAAUACAAAAGCAUGUCAGCUGUUAAGGAAUUUCAUUUUUAACUGAGUGUUUUUUUCACAGCACUUUAACUUAUGUUCACAAUGGAGUCAAUAUUAAUGUACAUUUAAUCGCUGCUGUCUACAAACAACCUGUGGGUUCAACAACAUGCCACAAAGCACCAACAACUGUUGAUAUGUGUUAUCAAUGUCUAACACCCCUGCCUACAUAGUGUGCAGAAAUGAUGGGGAAUAGUUUAUGCUCUGAUUAAUUUCCUAUCAGGAUUUCAGUUUCUAAACCAUUUUCAGUGACAUACCUAGACUGCUCACUAUAGGCCUGAUCCAAAGUUAAUGGGAAGACUCCCACUGACAUAAGUGGGUUUUCGAUAAAGCCCCACAGUUCUUCAGUCUUUACUCAGAUUUUAUUCAGUCAAUUCUCCUGCUGAAGUCAAUGAAAUUAUUCCCUAAUAUAAUAGAGCACACUGUCAGGAAGAUUUUAAUGAUAUUCAGCCUACAUUUUCCCUAUCUUAAUCUCAUCCCAUUACUCCUAGUUAGACCUCAUUCAUGACUAUUUUCUGUAUGACUAUUGUCUUCCUUUUGGGGGCCCAAUCCUAAAUGAUGCAAAACUCCCAUUGUCUUUGAUUAUGGAGGCAAGAUCAGGCCAGAGUAUUUACACACUACAACUGUUCUCAUUUCCCUCCUUUUGCAUCACUUAGCCAAGCUAUUGCUGGAUGACUUCUAUCUAUGGAAUUUUUGAUGGAGUGGGAACUGGGUAAAGACUUCAGAACUGAGCCUUAUGGCAACACUGAAGAAGAGAGAAAAUGAAAAGAUUAGUCAUUAUAAUGUCAAGGCACACAGCAACAGGAAUUUUUAAAUAAAAUAGCUUUUAUAAGAUCAAAUGUUAUCUUCUUUCCAUCCUCACAGCUAUAUAUAAAUCCCUAGUAAAAUUAUUAGAUGUAGUUUCUUUCAUUAAGAACCCAACAAGUUUUAAAUUACUUUAUAAUUUUCAGUGGGCAAGACAAAUAAAGUUACCUGUUUUUUGAUAAACAAUCAAAUGUUGUGUAUAAUUUCGCCUUACUGAUAGUUGGUUUGGAACUUCCUCUAGCUUACCAGAAGUUGAAAGUUCUUUCUCUUUAACAAGGUACUUUUUCUUCCUUGUGAGCUCAGAAUUUACUUAUGACCAAGAUGUCACAUGGUAUUGAUGAUCUCCAUACAGAUAAACAAACAUAAUUUUUGCAAUUUGCUAGAACUUUAUUAAUUCAGAAGGAUAAACUUAAUUAGUGGUUCUGGAACAGCAGUAAUGUGCACUUCAGGGUAGAUUUUUUUCCUUCCCAUUACCCCAAGCCUCUGUACACUGUUCCAGCAAAAUAAUUUGAAUCUUACUGCAGGUAUAGUGUUGUGCCACUCUUCUUAAGUAAGGACAGGUUUUUACCACUGGAGAUAUCCAUGCAAAAAGUAGCUAUCUCAACUUCUAACACCUAUUUCAAAUGAUCCAUCACCUUUACUAUGAGUGCAAGAUUUCCCUGUGUUCCCCACACAUGCCUGCAAGUAUCCAUCAUAGUUUACAUUUGUGUCCUUUUUGCUGUUUCUCUUCAUUUU